UACAGAGGGGGCAAGCGUUAUCCGGAAUGAUUGGGCGUAAAGCGUCCGCAGGUGGCUAUGUAAGUCUGCUGUUAAAGAGUGAGGCUCAACCUCAUAAGAGCAGUGGAAACUACAUGGCUAGAGUGCGUUCGGGGCAGAGGGAAUUCCUGGUGUAGCGGUGAAAUGCGUAGAGAUCAGGAAGAACACCGGUGGCGAAAGCGCUCUGCUAGGCCGCAACUGACACUCAUGGACGAAAGCUAGGGGAGCGAAUGGG
rnacentral:rRNA from 1 species